rnacentral:piRNA from 1 species
CGGUUCCCAGCACCCACGGCUGUCUCUCCAGCCACCUUU